rnacentral:rRNA from 1 species
UACGUAGGCAGCGAGCGUUUGUUCGGAGUUCUGGGCGUAAAGCGUGCGUAGGCGGUGUCUUAAGUUUGUUGUGAAAUCUCCCGGCUUAACCGGGAGGGUGCGGCGAAUACUGAGAUGCUGGAGUGCCGGAGAGGUAAGCGGAAUUCCUGGUGUAGCGGUGAAAUGCGUAGAUAUCAGGAGGAACACCUGCGGUGUAGACGGCUUUACUGGGACGGUAACUUGGACGCUGAGGCACGAAAGCGUGGGUAGCAAACAGG